rnacentral:lncRNA from 1 species
AUGCGCAGUCCACGCCCCGCGGGGCGACGGGCAGGGCGGUUGUCAGGGGCGACCGCAUUCUCCCGGGACUCCGCGCCCGCGCGGGCGGGGACAGGCCGAGCGGGCCCGCCUCCCUCGCGCUCUGAUUGGCUGAGGCCGCUGCUCGUUGGCGUCGUCGCGGCCGCCGAUUGGGCAAAGGCAAGUUCGCACGCUCGGCUCGGGGCCACGCCCCCCCCGCCGGCCCGCGCCAGCCACCCGGGAGGGGAGGACGCUUGGGGACUCCGCGCGGCCCCGGGAGGGACCUGCGCGAGCCUCGGCCUCCAGGCGGGCGCGGCCCGGGCGGUGGGCGGCGAUGAUCCCCGAGGAGAGGCCGGGCGGCCCGGGCGCCGGCGAGGACAGCACGAGGCUGCAGGCAGCAGGCAGCGUUCGAAAGGUGGGCGCGUCCGCGGGGCCGGGGGCCGGAGUGGGGGUCGGGGACCCCAGCCCACCUUGGCUGCCACCUGCCGCCGGCGGGCGCGGGGCUGCGGGGUCGGCGCGGCUUCUCAGGUCUGUGCGCUGCAAGACUUGUGGCAGCCUCCCCCCACCCCCCGCCCUCCCUCCGGAGGCUGCCCUCCGGGGAAACUGAGGCACGGCGCACAGGCCGGGCCCGCCCGCCUGCCUGCGCUGGGCGCCCCUCAUCCCGUCCGGGGCACAGCCUGUGCGGCUCAGCAGAGCUCAGCGCCUCUCCGCCGCUCGGGGACGCCGCGGCCCCGCUCGGCAGGUGUUGGGCUCGGGUCUGAGGCCGCGGCCCCGUGCCAGCUCCCCGUGCCCGUCACUCCUUCCCUAGCUUCUCCCUCCCUCUCGCCGGGGCUGCUCAGCCUUGCCCCUGGCGCCUGGCUCUGUCUUGACCGAAACUUUCCGCGCCCGCAGCGGGAGCCUCCCGGGGACAGGAAGUGGCAGGAGGACCUCACAGCUGGGCAGUUUGUCCUUUCCUCGCUCACCGUGCACCUCCCCCUCCCCCCCCCCCCCCCCCCCCCCCCCGUCUGA